CCUACGGGUGGCAGCAGUGGGGAAUAUUGGGCAAUGGGCGCAAGCCUGACCCAGCAACGCCGCGUGAAGGAAGAAGGCUUUCGGGUUGUAAACUUCUUUUCUGAGGGACGAAGAAAGUGACGGUACCUCAGGAAUAAGCCACGGCUAACUACGUGCCAGCAGCCGGGGAAAUACGUAGGUGGCAAGCGUUAUCCGGAUGUAUUGGGUGUAAAGGGCGUGUAGGCGGGAAAGGAAGUCAGAUGUGAAAACUAAGGGCUCAACCCUGAGCCUGCAUUUGAAAAUGUUUUUCUUGAGUGCUGGAGAGGCAAUCGGAAUUCCGGGUGUAGCGGUGAAAUGCGUAGAUAUACGGGGGACCACCAGUGGCGAAGGCGGAUUGCUGGACAGUAACUGACGCUGAGGCGCGAAAGCGUGGGGAGCAAACAGGAUUAGAUACCCGAGUAGUC
rnacentral:rRNA from 1 species